rnacentral:misc_RNA from 1 species
AAGUCGUAACAAGGUAACCGUAGGUGAACCUGCGGUUGGAUCAUUAACAAAUGAUUUGGUUUCAAACCAAAACACUAUGUGCAACUACAUCUGUCUCUGGUGGUCUUGUGUAUUUUUCCUCGCCCGGUGCUCCCGAACGUCAAAGUGUGCAGAUGUUCAUCAAAGCACGGGUUGAAAAUGGCGGGGAAGGUCGCAACCACCGAAUGACCAAACAACUUUUUGUAUUUUUUUUUAGUCUGAAUCAUUCACAUUCUGUGCAAUGAAAACAAUUUUUAACAACGGAUCUCUUGGUUCUC